GCUGAGAUAGCUCAGUUGGUAAAGCAUAAGACUGUUAAUCCCAGAGUUGUGGGUUUGAGCCCCAUGUUGGGCA